UGAAUGGGUUUCAGGGUGGCUGAGGAAGCCUGCCAAAAAGGCAGAGUGAAAAGGCCAGGCCCGUGUGGCACUGCUCGCAGUUUCCAUGACGACACCAGCUGCUGCCUGGCCCCUCCAAUUGCUGGCUCCUUCUGCGGGGCCUCCACAUGGUUACCUGGCUCUGUGAGGAGGAAAAUUCUGACGGGUCUUCUUGGCCCAGUGUGCCACCAGCUAGUGCCACUGUGUUCUAGACACCGUGCUGCACUCCACAGGGAAGACUGGGUCCAGGGAGGGGCUGUUGGAACCUCUGGAGGCACAUGCUUCAUUCAGUCCAGCGUGGAGGGAGGGGCUACCAGCGGCCAGCCAGGCAGGACUGGGAUGGGACAGGCUCUCAGAGGUCUGUGGGCCUUUGGGAGGGAAUGGCGAGACCAGAUGUGUUUGUUAAAGAUGUCUGUGCCUACACAGGGCCUAGGGAGGGUGGAUGACGUGAUAGGAUAGAGAGGCAAAGGGAAGCUAUGCAGUAACCCAGGACAGGGACAGUGGCCUGGCCUAACACCUAGAGCUGUUUAAGAGGUAGAAGUGACUGCAUUUGGUGCUUGGGCAGGAGAGGCUGAUGAAAUGGAGGAGUCUAGAUAUCUCCUCCCAGGGCAGCAGGUAGGUGGGGCUGUACUCCCCAAGACAGAAAACGGGGACUUGAGAUAUUUGAGGACUCCCCUGAACCAUUCUUGUCUACUUUCUCCCCUACUCCAGAGACUACCAAGAACUUGGAUCUUGGUGGGGAUGUCCAAGUUUGAUGAAUGAAUGAAUAAAUGAAAGGGAGAAAGGUCAGAAAGUGUGUGAAACCAAUGAGAGAGAGAUGUGCUCUACCCAAGUACACACUUGCCCCCAAAUGUAUACCACCCAAGGGAGCUCGUGCCGAGAUGAGGCUGCCUUGACCUCUCGCACGCGACACACAUCGUGUUGGACUUUGUCACCUAGAUUUGUGAUUGGUUUUGUUAUUUUGGGUCAUCUUAGCAUCCAAAUCAGGUAUUACACAUUUAUUGCGGUUUGAUUUUGCUUUUACUCACUGCAGAGCUGUGUCAGAGUGGAGCCCAGUUUCCUGCAUCUACCUGUGAGAGUGGUGGCUUGGAGGUGCCCCCUCGUUUUAAGUAAGCAGAUCCACUGGGUGGACAUCUAACACAGAGGACCCAGCGGUGCUGACUUCACGCUCCAGAGAAGAAAUUUCUGCAGCUUUCCUUUAUGCAGCUGCCGGGCGCCUCUAAAGGGCUCAGUGGACACAGAGCUUCAAAGGGACACAGCUACCUGCAUCAUUUUUAACAGGAACUAGCUGGCCAAGGGAGGACUGGAUUCCAAAUACCAUAGACUGGACAAGAGCAAGGGUAUUAUUUAUAUCCAACAAGUCUUCCCUGUGUGACUACAGACGUCAGGCCCAAUGUAAGAUGACAUUUGAAAGCUGGGCCCGAUCAGCUGAGAGACAGUGCUCUACCUUCUUGCAAAAAGGGGAGGAGCUUCGUGGCUCCAAAGGGCAGAAGCAGAGGAUGACAAGCCCAAGGAUGGAGAUUCUAGCUCAACACAACAAGAAUCAGAAAUCAGAGCUUUCUCACAGGGAUGAGCCUCCCAUCACUAGAUGUAUUCAAGUAGAAGUUGUCAGGAUGCACUUGGAUGCACUUGGAGCUAGUCAACCAGGAGACUGAAUUCCUCCAGCUUCCCUGCACCCCAGGAGGACAGCAGCUGCCUCCCAUGGCCUGCACGAAAACCCUUCUGCUGGCCAGCUGAGGACAGCAGCUAAGUCACAUUAAGCCUGCCCUGCUUGCUCUGGGUUUAACAAUCUGUUUCCUCCCUGCCCGUGGCGGGGAGAAGAGCAAACCCCAGCGUGGGCGGAGCAGUGGGGCCUGGCCGAUGCUGUCCAAGGCCUCCCAGCUUUUCAGGAAAGGGCAUCUUUGUGUCUGUGAGGUAUUGAAGCCAGUCAUGGUGCCCUGAAACUCGUCCUCUCACAGUCUGGAUUCCUGCAGGGACACUCCAAGGGCAUCAUGGGUAUGAGGAGGGGGUGCUCUUGAUUAAGCCAUCUGAGCAACCCCAACUCCCCACCCCUGUUCCCAGCAGUACUCACCGGAAGAGCAGCAGUGCCCCUAGGUGGAGAGAACUCUACCCCUGGGAGUCCUCAAGGACCCGGGCCCACAUGGCCAAGACACAGGCCACGGAUGGGGAGUGGGCUACACUUCCAGAAGGCUCUGAAUUCUGGCAGGCAUGAUUGCUUUGCCCCAGGCCUUGACCUCUCUAGCUGCUGGGGGUGGGGCGGGGGAGAAUUGGCCUCUAGUGAGGGAAAACCAGCCCCAGGGAACUGGGCCACCACUCCUAUCUGGGCUACCUCUGAGGACUUUAGUUUUUUCUUUGCAUCUCUGAUCCUCUGUUUCCCUAACUGAAAAAUAGGGAUAUAAACAUACCUAUUUUCUGUGAGAAUAGAGUGAAAUGACGGACAGGACAGCCUAGCACUAUCCUGGCAUAGGAUACGUGCUUAAUAAUGAGUUUUCUCCUGGAACUUUCUUUUUUCUCCAUGCUCUCCCCUCCCUUACCUCUGUAAGACUAGAACUGCUCACCAGUGGAGGGAGGGGUGUGCUUACAGGGAGAACAGAUCCUUCCUGGUCUGUAGGAGGCCUGCCUCUGCCAAUAGGGCUGCAAACUUGUAUUUUGUCAAAAAUAAUAAUCAUAGAGAAGGCAGGAGGGAGGGUCAGCCGUUGAGCUAUGGGUCUGCUGCAGUGGCCACGGAGGGGGCAGGCUUGGCUGAGGUUUUCCCUCUACCCCUUGGCUGUGGCACCCCAGGGGGUGGAGUCUGGGAUGGAUCCUGGGCUUGGAGAUAGCAGAUUAGCAUCCAGACUUCUCUGAUUCGAUUGGAGGCUCAGUUCAGCGCUGGGGGCCACCCUACAGGGGUGGAGUGGGCAGGGACCAGGGGCCUCUAGCUCUUCCAGCCAGCUGACCCUGUUAUUUUUAGCUCUGGAAUGUUCCUUUCAAGCCCCCUUCAGUUCUGUUUAUCCUGCUUUUGCUCCCUGUUCCUCUCCAGGAAAUUCUGCAGCAGGAGUAGGAUAAACCAAGAGGGGAGGAGAUUAGGGGUGGCAGAAACAAUAGGAGAAAUCCACUGGGGCUGUGGGAAGAGUGGGCACUGCUCCCUUCCCUACCUUCAGGUCCAGAGGCCCCCAUUUCUGCCUUUCCGGUUUCCUGGGUUUGGGGCUACGAGGUUAUCCCCUCCUUCCUCUCCACCACCACGGAUAUGACAUGACCUCCAUCGUGCUUGUCAGCCCAGGCCUGGGGCAGCCCCACCCUCUUACCUUUCCUUCUGGAAACUCGGGUGAGGUCAUACUUAGGGUGGGCUGGGCAGGAAGGGUCAGCCCUUGGACCCGGCCCCUGGGUCCAGACACUCUGUGGACCCCUUGAAAGAACUCCUAUGUGAAAAUGCACAGCAGAGCAGUGGGCCUGGGGACAAAGGGUUGGUGUGAAGUCCAGAGAUUGAUUCGGUCCCCCUCUGCCUCCGUGUUUUCCUUUAUAAAAUGGGAAUGACAGUA